rnacentral:misc_RNA from 1 species
AAACACACAUUGCGCCCACUAGUAUUCUAGUAGGCAUGCCUAUUCAAGCGUCAUUUCAACCCUUAAGCCUAGCUUAGUAUUAGGGCAUUACAGCCUGCCGCAAGCCCUAAAAAUCAGUAGCAGGCUCACCAUAACUCCAAGCGUAGUAAUACAUCUCGCUUUAAAAGAGCAGCAGGUCCCAGCCAUUAAACCCCCUACUUUUAUAAGGUUAACCUCGGAUCAGGUAGGAAUACCCGCUAAACUUAA